ACGACUACACUCCUACGGGAGGCAGCAGUGGGGAAUCUUGCGCAAUGGGCGAAAGCCUGACGCAGCCAUGCCGCGUGAAUGAUGAAGGUCUUAGGAUUGUAAAAUUCUUUCACCGGGGACGAUAAUGACGGUACCCGGAGAAGAAGCCCCGGCUAACUUCGUGCCAGCAGCCGCGGUAAUACGAAGGGGGCUAGCGUUGCUCGGAAUUACUGGGCGUAAAGGGAGCGUAGGCGGACAUUUAAGUCAGGGGUGAAAUCCCAGAGCUCAACUCUGGAACUGCCUUUGAUACUGGGUGUCUUGAGUGUGAUAGAGGUAUGUGGAACUCCGAGUGUAGAGGUGAAAUUCGUAGAUAUUCGGAAGAACACCAGUGGCGAAGGCGACAUACUGGAUCAUUACUGACGCUGAGGCUCGAAAGCGUGGGGAGCAAACAGGAUUAGAUACCCUUGUAGUCCACCAAUCC
rnacentral:rRNA from 1 species